UGCGUGUGCGCGUGCGUGUGUGUGUGUGUGUGUGUGUGUGUGACUCUUGCCUCCCCAGCUCAGCGUCACACGCAACACG
rnacentral:miRNA from 1 species